UUCACCAUUUAUGGCUUUUCAGCCGAGCGCUCGAAGGAUCCCAUAGAUCUCAGCCAAUUGAUCAUGCGAUCUGAUUGCUCGGACGAGCGUUUGUGAGUCGGAGUUCAGGACAAGCUGGUUCAGUUGAGGCUUUUUGCAUGAAGGAGAGCUUCCCUGAUCGCGAUCGCUUCUGCUGCGAGAGGCGACGAAACGAAGUGAGUUACCUUGGACAUUUCCGCUAGUACCCUGUUGUCGUUGUUGUAACAGAUCCAGCCAAUCCCUGCCAUCUGAUUCUCAGCCCUCCAAGCCGCAUCUGUAAAACAAGAGAUGACUCCAGAGAAAGCCCUGUCUUCAAAAAUCAGGCGAUUUCGCGCUGUCCACAGAGACCAACAGAUCCAGGGGAAAAGUGCUGUUGAGCUCACUCCAAUUAUUGGGAGGCAGAUCCAUGAUCUAGAUGCUUCGAGUGCGAUGUCUAGCCGGGGAAAAUCGAGGGGGUACACUGGAUCUUUAAACGGGGCACUGAUCCAGACGUCUUUCGCGAAAGCGCAAUGGAGGAGAAGGUGUUCCGGAGAUUCCAGAUCGCCACAUCUAGGGCAGAUACCAUCUGGGUUCGCCAGCCACAUAAACUUGUCUUUUGCUCCAGUCAGACUCGGCUUGAUGCAUUGGAUAACGUGAAGCAGAUCAGUAGGUCCAAAAAGGUGGACUGGGUUUUCCAUUGAGAGCCAAGCAUCAGACCAGACCAUUGUAUCUUUUCCAUCACUGAUGGCUUUCCCUAGGUGUGACCGGAGGAGAUCUCUUCCAAGGAGAAUACCACUCCAUCCAUGUGAGGAUGCGGGGUGAUGGGGAACCUCAAGGAAACCGGUUUCGUGAUAGUAUUUUCCCAGCAGGGUUCGAGCCAAGAGGCAUGAGGGGUUCAUUAGAAUGCGCCAGCUUAGCUUUGCGAGGAGGGCAUCGUUGAAAGCCUGAAUAUCUUUGAAACCCAGCCCUCCAUUCUUCUUAGACUUGGCUAGCUGGGAGCUUAAAAUAUGUCAUGGUAUAUGUUGGGAUGGCAGAGAGUACUGACUUUAGCAAAGUCAAUUUUCCGGCGCUUGAAAGGAACCUUGAUGACCAACUCGCAGCUUUCUGCCUAAUGUGAUCCACAAUGAGAGAGAACAUAUCCUUUUGAUUCCUUCCAAAGUGCUCAGGGAGGCCAAGAUAUUUUCCUUGGCCACCCUCCUUUGAUAUUCCAAGUGUCGCUUUAGUAUCCUCACAAACAUCUGGGGUGUUUUGGAUGAAAAAGUUAUCGAUGAUUUUGCCAUAUUUAUCUUUUGCCCCGAUGCCAUUUCAUAUUUGUGAAGGAUGUCUUUAAGAGCUGAUGAGUUUCCUUUGUUUGCCUUGCAGAAAAACAUCAUGUCAUCCGCAAAAAGAAGGUGGUUUAUGCGGGGGGCUUCCUCUAGCGACUCUAAGCCCAGGGGUUGAAACCGGAGAGUCAAAGAGCUUGGAGAUGAUUUUAUAGAAGACAUUACACAGCGCAAUGGGUCCCACCACCUCCCAGUUUCAUUGAAAGAAACUCGAUGAGAAGCCAUCAGGCCCUGGCGCCUUGUCAGGGUGUAUCGCGAACAUGGCUCUUUUGAUUUCCUCCGGUGAAGGAUCGGCUAUCAGACGUUCAUUAUCCAGCCUCGUGAUACAAGGUUUUUGAUGAUCUAAUCCACGAUUCCUGAACUGUCUGAGCUUGUGGAGGUGAAAAGGUAUUUGUAGUAGUCCGUUAUGACUUUUGCGAUUUGUUCUUCUUCAUAGACAGGUGAUCCGUUGAUAUCCUCUAUCAUCAUAAACUUAUUUAUCGUUUUCCUCCCCUUUGUUAUAGCAUGAAAAUACCCUGUGUUGUUAUCUCCUAGGGACAGCCACAAUUGUCUACUUUUUUGCUUCCAAAAUUCCUCUUCAGCUUUGUAGGCCAUCGAUAGUUCAGCGUUUAAACUUUGGAUGGAAGCUUCAUCACCAUUGGCGUUUGACAUGACAUGGCCUCAUCAAGCUUGAUUCUGGUUGCUUCAAUAACCUUCUUGUUAUUUAUAUGGUUCUCCCUGUUCCAUUUUGAUAUCUCUUUCCUGCAAUUUGAGAUCCUUGUAGUCACUAAAUCCUCUGGGUUUGAGUUCCAAGUAGAUGCUAUCAGAUUCUGGAUUUCCUCAUUUGAUUGCAUACGCCUAUCAUAUCGGAAUAAACCUCUCUUUUUCCUAUUUGCAGGCUCAAAAAGGAGAUAAUUGGUCUGUGAUUGGACCCUUCAAACCGCAGGUAUGCACUUCUGCCUGAGGGGAAGAUCUCAACCCAGGCACUAUUGGAGAGGGCACGGUCCAGCCUACAGAACACCUUAUGAGAAUGUCGAGUACCUUAUGAGAAAUCCAGCUUCCACAUUCACGACAUCUAAUAUGGAUUUGUCUUAUUUCUCUACGAGAUAUGGGCUGCUUUGGGCCUCUAAUCGAACUUAAAAAUCAUUUUUAAACCGUUAUCUUUCAAUUUCUAGGCUGAUUCCAUUUUA